AGUGAACGCUGGCGGUAGGCCUAACACAUGCAAGUCGAACGGCAGCACAGUAAGAGCUUGCUCUUACGGGUGGCGAGUGGCGGACGGGUGAGGAAUACAUCGGAAUCUACUUUUUCGUGGGGGAUAACGUAGGGAAACUUACGCUAAUACCGCAUACGACCUACGGGUGAAAGCAGGGGAUCUUCGGACCUUGCGCGAUUGAAUGAGCCGAUGUCGGAUUAGCUAGUUGGCGGGGUAAAGGCCCACCAAGGCGACGAUCCUAAGCUGGUCUGAGAGGAUGAUCAGCAAAACUGGAACUGAGAUACGGUACAGACUACUACGGGAGGAAGCAGAGGGGAAGAUUGGAGAAGGGGCGCAAGACUGAUCCAGAAAUACCGCGUGGGUGAAGAAGGCAUUCGGGUUGUAAAGACCUGUGGUGGGGAAAGAAAAGCAGCAGGGUAAUAACACGGUGUUAUGACGGUACCAAAAGAAUAAGCACCGGCUAACUUCGUG
rnacentral:rRNA from 1 species